GCUCUCUGAAUUAUACCCAAAGUUGAAGGACGUCCCUGGUGGUUGGCUGUUUUAAGAAUUGGAGGCAGGUGGUUGGGGACAUAGAAGACUUGUGGUGGCCCCUGCAGACUGUGGCUAUACAGGAAGGAUACUAAAAUUGUCAAGAACAAAAGAAAAUACUGUUAUGUAUGCAACUCCACUCCAGGAGGAGUUUGACACCACUCCAUUGCCACCAACAUCUGAGGCCUUCCGCAACAUGCCAAAGGCAAUAUGUUUUUUUUUUAAAAAAAUAAUAAUAAAAAAUAAAUAAAUAAAUAGCGCAACCCAUCCUAUCCUCUUCAAGUUCUUCCUGACCCCAUCAGCUCAUGCUCUGUUAUUGUGGAUGACGCCGAACCAGGCAAGAGUGAACAGGUAAUCUUUAUUUUAUCAAGAAAGAAGAACUGGGCUACAGUGAACAAGUAAUCUUACUUGAUACCAGUUUGGAGUUGUGUACAAUUGAACUGUCACUAUAUAUUUGACUAGUUUGUUGGUGCUGUAUGUCAAGAACCAUAUGGUCCACUUUGUUUUCAUGAGUACACUCCCAGCCACCAGUUGAAGAAUGCAUGUAAUUUUGGAAAUACAAGGGGGGGCAGGGGGAGUGUGUGUGUGUAUAUAUAAAUUUUGCAUUUCAACAUUGUCUUCAUUACAUUUGUAUCCAUAUCUAUUUCAUAUUUUUUGUAUUAAUGUGUCAUACAUCAUAGGCUUGCUGUCCUAUAUGCCAGGAAGAAAUGGCCCUUGUCUUGGAAAUUCAUGCCAGCAUAUGUGAGGAAGGGUAAUCAAGAUGGAUAAAAUAUGAUAUUUUUAAAAUGUGCCAUGUCUUAUAUGCGUGGGUUUUCUUUUACACUGUAGAACAGUCAGUUACACAAUGAACACCACAAUUGAAGUGCUGUGUGUGAAUAAUGGUAAUUACAAUUGCUGCUUCUUUUUGUACUUGACCAAUGCCAGUGGAUAACUGUUGGGUGACAUUUGAGUGCAUUUCAUCCACCUCUGCCACACUUAAAAUCUGUGCUUUCUGCCCAUCUAGAUUGGAAGACCCACCCUGAUCCCAAAGUGGCUGUGUCCUUGUACACCCAGGAAAUUCUUUGUCUCCAUGAGAUUGGGAAGCCGCUUCUGAGGUACACGGACCUCAGAUCAGGUGUUCAAGGACAAGAGAGAACUUAUAAACCUCUAGAAGCACAAAGAUGUGGAGUGGGCAUGCCCCCUUAGAUGCCAAUUGCAAGGGGACACUGCAAUUGGUGAUUGUGUUACUAGGCACUUUUUUCCCCCCACAAUUCUUCACUAACUGAAGUAUGGUUUCAUUUUG